UGGGGAAUAUUGCGCAAUGGGGGAAACCCUGACGCAGCAACGCCGCGUGAAGGAUGAAGGUUUUCGGAUUGUAAACUUCAACAAUCAGGGACGAAAAAAAUGACUGUACCUGACUGAAGCCACGGCUAACUACGUGCCAGCAGCCGCGGUAAUACGUAGGUGGCAAGCGUUGUCCGAAUUUACUGGGUGUAAAGGGCGUGUAGGCGGGUGCCUUAGUCAGUGGUGAAAUACCGGGGCUCAACCCCGGGGCUGCCAUUGAAACUGGGCAUCUUGAGUGCAGGAGAGGAAAGCGGAAUUCCUAGUGUAGCGGUGAAAUGCGUAGAUAUUAGGAGGAACACCGGUGGCGAAGGCGGCUUUCUGGACUGUAACUGACGCUGAGGCGCGAAAGCGUGGGGAGCAA
rnacentral:rRNA from 1 species